rnacentral:lncRNA from 1 species
GGAGACAGUGCUGAGCGCAACCCAGAAGGGUCGCAGCAGACACCCGUCAGGCUCCUGGGCACUCGCCCCAGCCCUUGUGACCCUCCUUCUCGGCUCUUCCCCGGGCUGCCCCGCGUGCCUGUCCCUCGGCCACUCUCUCCGUCCAUGUCCAUCUCUUUCACCGCCGAGCUGCGUCUAGAUAGGCUGCACCAAGAAAAAGGUGACCAGAUUGUUCUCGGUCAUUUUCCUCAUAGCUCUUCCAGGUUAUAACUCCCAUCAACAAGAACAGAAAUCCUGAAGGGGAAACUGAGGCACAAAGUCUUGGCCCGAGAUGAGAGAUGAGUUUGAGAAGGAGUCUCACCCGAUUCUCACCUCGGUCACCUCAGUCCCUCCCUACUCCAGGCCGGUGCUGCAAGGGUCUCUCCGCCCUCGGAAAGGAGUGGAUCCGCGUCCGCACCCGGCGCCUCCUCUCGAGGAGCAGGACACUUUCCCCAGUGCCGGGGUCCUAAGAGGAGCGUGGCUGGCCCUCCUCUCAAGAGCUAGCCCGGCUUAGCCGCGGACCUCUUCGCCGGU